AAGACUGACAUCAUUCCGAGUCGAGGAGAGGUCUUUCGUGUUCCAGAUUUGAUCACAUUGCUAGGGGUAAAUUGGCUUAAUGACGUUAUCAUAAAUAAAUAUCUGAACCUUAUCGUGGAAAGAAGUGGGGUGGCCGUAUAUGCAUUCAGCACUUUCUUCUACAAUAGACUUGUGGAGUCCUACAGUAAUAUCAGCAGAUGGACUAAAAAUCUUCUGGUCGUCGUGAUCUAUUUUAUCUCAG